GGUUUUUUGGAACAUAAUAAAAAAUCUGGCCUGCCCAAUGAUGGUUUAAAUGGCCGCGAUAUUUUAAUCGUGCUAAGGUAGCAUAAUCAAUUGUCUGUUAAUUGCAGGCUGGAAUGAAUGGUUGGACUUGAAAUUAGUUGUCUUUAUAAUAACUUGAAUUUUUCUUUUUUGUGAGGAGACAAAAAUGAUCUAAGGAGACGAGAAGACCCUAUUAAGUUUUACAUCAAUAAUAUUAAAAUGUGUAGUGAAAAUAAUAGAAAGGAUGUUUUGCUGGGGUGGUUAAAAAUAAAGGAAACAUUUUUAAAUACAGAGACUGAUAGGUGGAAUUGAUCCAAUAAUAUUGAGUUAGAGACUAAAUUACUAUAGGGAUAACAGCGUAAUUUUGUUUAGAAGUUCAAAUUUAUGGCAAAGUUUGCGACCUCGAUGUUGGUUUAAGGGUCCUAUUUAGUGCAAAAAUUAAAAAAGGAGGUUUGUUCAACCAAUAAAUCCUUAUA
rnacentral:rRNA from 1 species